CCUACGGGCGGCAGCAGUGGGGAAUAUUGCACAAUGGGGGAAACCCUGAUGCAGCGACGCCGCGUGAGCGAUGAAGUAUUUCGGUAUGUAAAGCUCUAUCAGCAGGGAAGAAAAUGACGGUACCUGACUAAGAAGCCCCGGCUAACUACGUGCCAGCAGCCGCGGUAAUACGUAGGGGGCAAGCGUUAUCCGGAUUUACUGGGUGUAAAGGGAGCGUAGACGGUCCUGCAAGCCAGAUGUGAAAGCCCGGGGCUCAACCCCGGGACUGCAUUUGGAACUGUAAGGCUAGAGUGUCGGAGAGGCAGGCGGAAUUCCUAGUGUAGCGGUGAAAUGCGUAGAUAUUAGGAGGAACACCAAUAGCGUAGGCAGGUUACUGGGACGGUUCUGACACUAAGGCACGAAAGCGUAGGGAGCAAACGGGAUUAGAUACCCUUGUAGUC
rnacentral:rRNA from 1 species